AUGGAGGCUGCUUCGCCACAAGGGAUCCAACUUCUCGCUUCGCCACCCCAGUCUCCACCUGCCCCAAUCUUCAGGCCGUCGUCCCCAACCCACCAGGAGAUCGGGGUCGACUUCGUCGCUGGUGACGGCGCCCUCGCGUUCGGCUCCGGCAUCAGGGGCCUGAACAUGUUAGGGUCGUUCGAGCUGGUCCUCCUCCUGCUCCUCGUGCUGCUCUUCCCCUCCCCCGCCCCCGCCAGUGUCGCCUCGCUGUGCCCGCUCGCGGCGACCUCCAACGCCUCCUCCCACACCUACGCCCGCCCCGUAUCCCACCUUCUUCGACGAUGUCGUCGACAAGUAUGGCUGGGACACCGACGCCCAGGGGCACCGCGGUCGCGCUGGCGCGGGCCAACCGACGGGGCCGUCGAUUGGGGUCGCUCCGACGCCCCCACGGUGGAGGAGGUGGUCGGGCCCGACGGGGUCGACUUCGUCGCCGGCGAUGACGCCCUGGCGUUCGGCUCCGGGGUCACGGACCUAAACAUGGUAGGGCCGUUGGAGCUGGUGGUCUCCAAUGGCGCUGGCGAGGGCCUCGCAGAGCUCGAGUUGCUGUCGGUUUCUCGGUUUGCUGCGCUGCUCUUCACAGUCGUGCAGCUGGCCAUCGCCGCUAGGGAUUUGUCGUCCAAGGCAGUCAAUCCUUUCCUGUAA
rnacentral:rRNA from 1 species